rnacentral:rRNA from 1 species
AAAUUGAAGAGUUUGAUCAUGGCUCAGAUUGAACGCUGGCGGCAGGCCUAACACAUGCAAGUCGAGCGGUAGCACAGAGAGCUUGCUCUCGGGUGACGAGCGGCGGACGGGUGAGUAAUGUCUGGGAAACUGCCUGAUGGAGGGGGAUAACUACUGGAAACGGUAGCUAAUACCGCAUAAUGUCGCAAGACCAAAGUGGGGGACCUUCGGGCCUCAUGCCAUCAGAUGUGCCCAGAUGGGAUUAGCUAGUAGGUGGGGUAACGGCUCACCUAGGCGACGAUCCCUAGCUGGUCUGAGAGGAUGACCAGCCACACUGGAACUGAGACACGGUCCAGACUCCUACGGGAGGCAGCAGUGGGGAAUAUUGCACAAUGGGCGCAAGCCUGAUGCAGCCAUGCCGCGUGUGUGAAGAAGGCCUUCGGGUUGUAAAGCACUUUCAGCGGGGAGGAAGGCGGUAAGGUUAAUAACCUUGGCGAUUGACGUUACCCGCAGAAGAAGCACCGGCUAACUCCGUGCCAGCAGCCGCGGUAAUACGGAGGGUGCAAGCGUUAAUCGGAAUUACUGGGCGUAAAGCGCACGCAGGCGGUCUGUCAAGUCGGAUGUGAAAUCCCCGGGCUCAACCUGGGAACUGCAUUCGAAACUGGCAGGCUAGAGUCUUGUAGAGGGGGGUAGAAUUCCAGGUGUAGCGGUGAAAUGCGUAGAGAUCUGGAGGAAUACCGGUGGCGAAGGCGGCCCCCUGGACAAAGACUGACGCUCAGGUGCGAAAGCGUGGGGAGCAAACAGGAUUAGAUACCCUGGUAGUCCACGCCGUAAACGAUGUCGAUUUGGAGGUUGUGCCCUUGAGGCGUGGCUUCCGGAGCUAACGCGUUAAAUCGACCGCCUGGGGAGUACGGCCGCAAGGUUAAAACUCAAAUGAAUUGACGGGGGCCCGCACAAGCGGUGGAGCAUGUGGUUUAAUUCGAUGCAACGCGAAGAACCUUACCUGGUCUUGACAUCCACAGAACUUUCCAGAGAUGGAUUGGUGCCUUCGGGAACUGUGAGACAGGUGCUGCAUGGCUGUCGUCAGCUCGUGUUGUGAAAUGUUGGGUUAAGUCCCGCAACGAGCGCAACCCUUAUCCUUUGUUGCCAGCGGUUAGGCCGGGAACUCAAAGGAGACUGCCAGUGAUAAACUGGAGGAAGGUGGGGAUGACGUCAAGUCAUCAUGGCCCUUACGACCAGGGCUACACACGUGCUACAAUGGCAUAUACAAAGAGAAGCGACCUCGCGAGAGCAAGCGGACCUCAUAAAGUAUGUCGUAGUCCGGAUUGGAGUCUGCAACUCGACUCCAUGAAGUCGGAAUCGCUAGUAAUCGUAGAUCAGAAUGCUACGGUGAAUACGUUCCCGGGCCUUGUACACACCGCCCGUCACACCAUGGGAGUGGGUUGCAAAAGAAGUAGGUAGCUUAACCUUCGGGAGGGCGCUUACCACUUUGUGAUUCAUGACUGGGGUGAAGUCGUAACAAGGUAACCGUAGGGGAACCUGCGGUUGGAUCACCUCCUUACCUUAAAGAA